ACCGCUAGAAGCUUGAUGCGCGAGUGGUCGCCUGGGCGACGGAGCAGGCUGUGGAGAGCGUAGAGAGGCCUAGCAGCAGGCCGAAGCCAUGGACAUAGACGCUGAGAGAGAGAAAAUAACACAGGAGAUCCAAGAGCUCGAAAGGAUUUUGUAUCCUGGGUCCUGCAGCAUCCCCUUGGAGGUCUCGGAUUCCAGUCUCAGUUCGGACUCUGAAGCAGAUUUCGUGCCUGAUGAGAACUUGGAAAUUGCUGGUGCCCCUGUCCUGGAAGAAGAAAGGUGGAGUGAGGCCAGCAAUGAUGAGGAGGACCCAAAGGACAAAGCUCUUCCUGAAGACCCUGAGACAUGUCUGCAGCUAAAUAUGGUUUACCAGGAGGUGAUCCGAGAGAAGCUGGCAGAGGUUAGCCAGUUGCUAGCCCAGAACCAGGAGCAACAGGAGGAGAUCCUGUUUGAUCUGGCUGGGACCAAAUGCCCCAAGGUAAAGGAUGGCAAAAGCCUGCCCUCUUACAUGUACAUAGGCCACUUCAUGAAGCCAUACUUCAAGGACAAGGUCACUGGAGUGGGGCCUCCUGCCAAUGAAGACACACGAGAGAAAGCUGCCCAAGGAAUCAAGGCCUUUGAACAGCUCUUGGUGACCAAGUGGAAGCACUGGGAGAAAGACUUGCUCCGGAAGUCUGUAAUGAGUGACCGCCUGCAACGCCUGCUUCAGCCCAAGUUGCUGAAGCUUGAAUACUUACAUGAAAAGCAGAGCCGAGUCUCCAGUGAGUUGGAGAGGCAGGCCCUGGAGAGGCAGGUUAAGGAAGCAGAAAAGGAGAUUCAGGACAUCAACCAGCUCACAGAGGAAGCUUUGCUGGGGAACCGGCUAGACAGCCAUGACUGGGAGAAGAUUUCCAACAUUAAUUUUGAAGGACGCCGCAGUGCAGAGGAGAUCCAGAAGUUCUGGCAGAGUUCUGAGCACCCAAGCAUCAACAAGCAAGAAUGGAGCACAGAGGAGGUAGAGCAGCUGAAAGCCAUCGCUGCCAAACACAGCCACCUGGAGUGGCAUUUGGUUGCAGAGGAACUAGGGACAAACCGCAGUGCCUUCCAGUGCCUGCAGAAAUUCCAGCAGUACAACAAAGCCUUGAAACGCAAGGAAUGGACAGAGGAAGAAGACCACAUGCUCACCCAGCUGGUCCAGGAGAUGCGCGUUGGGAACCAUAUCCCAUACCGCAAGAUUGUCUACUUCAUGGAAGGGAGAGACUCCAUGCAACUGAUCUACCGUUGGACCAAGAGCUUAGAUCCCAGCCUGAAAAGGGGACUCUGGGCCCCAGAGGAAGAUGCUAAGUUGCUUCAAGCUGUCGCCAAGUAUGGGGCGCAGGACUGGUUUAAAAUCCGGGAAGAGGUGCCAGGUAGGAGCGAUGCCCAGUGCAGAGACCGCUACAUCAGAAGAUUACAUUUCAGCUUGAAGAAGGGACGAUGGAAUGCAAAAGAAGAGCAGCAGCUGAUCCAGUUAAUAGAAAAGUAUGGUGUUGGUCACUGGGCAAGAAUAGCUUCUGAACUGCCCCAUCGGUCAGGCUCCCAGUGUCUGAGCAAGUGGAAAAUCUUGGCCAGGAAGAAGCAGCAUUUCCAGAGGAGGAAAAGGCAGAAGCCUCAUCACAGUAGCCAGUGGAGCUCUAGCAGCAGCAACAGCAGUGGCAGUGAGGUCUAUGACAGCAGUAGCAGCAGCAGCAGCGAAGACUCAGAUGUGGAGCCAGAGGAGUCUCUGGAGAAUGGCAGAGCACUGGGUCCUCAACAGUACAGGGUGCCAGACAUUGACCUGUGGAUUCCGACCAGGCUGGUUACCAACCAGUCACAGAGAGAAGGGACAGGGUGCUACCUAGCACAUCCUGCUGUUCCCUCCUACACUCCUGAUACCACUCAAAGUCACCACAAGAAAGGUUCCACCACAGUCUCUGCUCCUGAGAUAAGCCAGCUGCAGAUGCCCUGUGAGACCCACGGCACUGUUCCAAAAGGGGUCCAGUUCCUACGCUUACCGGACACUCGCCUAGCAAGUGUGAAGGACCCUGCCUGCAAGCAUGUGUUGAAAGUGCCCCUAGAGAAAAUGCUGAAGUUGAUCAGGACUCGCCCAACCAUCCAGAGCCACACACUGGUGAAGGAAAGACUGAGGCAGCCACCCCUGCCUAAUUCACGCUCAGGAUCUGACCCUGGUGACAGUGUGGCUGGGCUUCAUCUACGGCGGCCGUGGCAUGGAGCUCUCCAGAAUAAACAGAGACGCAAGAGACAGGCUCUGCACUGCAGGCUUCUUAAGCACAGGCUUCUGCUGGCUGUGAUACCCUGGGUUGGUGAUAUCAACCUGUCCUGCGCACAAGCUCCCCAGAGACCUGCAGCAGUGCAGACUCAAGCUGACAGCAUCAGGAUGCAGUUAGAGUGUGCCCACCUGGCCAGCACUCCAGUGUUCACAUUGUUUAUUCAGCUCUUGCAGAUUGAUACUGCAGGCUGCAUGGAGGUGGUUCAAGAGAGGAAAACUCAGGCAUCUAUAUUGCUCCAGCCUGGUACCCAGAACCCACAGCCACACCUUGUGCAGGCGUCCUCCAGUGCCAAGAACAGCACAGGCUGCCCCCUCCCAAGCAUGCCGUGUCAGCAAACUGCAAACAGAGCCUGCCACAAAGAUCGUCCACGCCUGGGGUUCUGCAGGGCUGAAGCUACCUCCUCCCAAGUUUCUGUAGCAGCCCCACAUGGCCUCCGGCCAAAGCCCAAGACUGUAUCUGAGCUGCUUCGUGAGAAGCGGCUUCGAGAGUCCCGUGCCAAGAAGGCCACUCAGGCCCUCACUGCCCUCAACAGCCAGCUGCUGAUCUCCCCUGUGAUCCUCCAGCCUCCUCUGCUGCCAGUCCCCCAGGGUUCCCCAGCAACAGGCCCUGCAACAGCCAGUUUAGAACUCUCUGUACCUGUGGCCCCAGUGAUGGUGAGUUCAAGUCCUGGCUCCUGGCAGGUGGCUGGGAUCACAACCACAGAGAAGCAGCCCCCCAGCCUGCAAACCAUUCCCCUUAAUCCUUCCCACAAAGGGACCCAGGUUGCAGCCCCCACUGCUUUUAAGAGUCUGGCCCUAGCGCCCAGGCAGGUUCCCACGAGCUGUCCUCAGAGUGCUCGAGGAGAGUCUCGGGCCUACGCCACACCUCAGGAGCAGGGCCUGCCCAUUCUCCCAGCACCCCCCAGCCUCACUCAGCUGUCUGUGCAACCCCUCAGUCUGCCACCAGUUCUUAGCCCACAGGCAAGUGGGCAGCCUAUGGCAACCAAGGCCAGUCUGCCUGUCAACUGGGUUCUCACAACUCAGAAGCUGCUCUCUGUCCCAGUACCAGCUGUGGUAGGCCUCCCCCAGUCAGUGAUGACUCCUGAGACCAUAGGACUGCCAGCAAAACAGCUACCUUCCCCGACCAAGACUCUAGCUUUCCUGGGGCAGCCUGCAGCCAGUACAGACACAGGGUCCAAAGGGUCUCAGGGCCGGGAAAUACCACCCACAUCUGGUCCUGAAAAAAAGGCCUUGGACCUAAGUCUGCUUUCCCAGGAAAGUGAGACAGCCACACUGACAUGGCUGAAGGGGUGCCAAGGUGCUUGUGUGCCCCCACUAGGGAGCAGGAUGCCCUAUCACCCCCCUUAUCUGUGCAACUUGAGAGCAUUGUCCAACCUCCUCCUCCAUAAAAAGGACUUGGAACAGAAGGCUUCCUCUCUGGUAGCCAGUCAGACAGCUGGGGCCCAACCUGAUGCUGGGGCCCUACAGUUAUCCCUGGGGCUGGUACAGAGGCAAUUCCAGGACAACCCAGCCUACCUCCUGCUAAAGACACGUUUCCUGGCGAUCUUCUCCUUUCCUGCACUCCUGGCUACUCUGCCCCCCAAUGGUGUCCCCACUACCCUGUCACCAGCCAUGGCUACGGGUUCUGAGAGUGACAGUGAAGACCUCGGUGAUCCGGAGCUCAAGGACAGGGCUAGGCAGCUGGACUGCAUGGCCUGCAGAAUGCAAGCAAGCCCAGCAGCCACAGACCCUGUAGAGAGAGUUCCGGGUCCUCAUGAGGAUUCUGCUCCAUCCCACCUGGAUACUUCUGAUGACCUUGAUGUGCUCAGGACUCGACGUGCUCGGCAUUCCCGGAAACAGAGGCUGCUGUGAGCAGCAAGGACACUGCUCUGAAGGCCUGGUGUUCCCCUCCCUGGAGUGAUUGCAAAGCCAUGAACCCCACUUUGUAAUCCUGGAAACACAGAAGGAGCCAGCAGAAGGGCAGAAAGCCACAAAGGAAGGGACCAGUUCAGGCUCUGCUCAAAGCUCCCCACGAGAGCACUGGAAGCAUUUGCCUUAUAUCAAUCCAGCAGGUGAGGCAGCAGCACCUGUCAAACAGCUAUAGUGGCUGGGCAGGGCUAGCAGGUCCAACGCCCA